UACGUAAGGACCGAGCGUUGUCCGGAAUCAUUGGGCGUAAAGGGUACGUAGGUGGUUAGAAAAGUUAGAAGUGAAAGGCUAUAGCUCAACUAUAGUAAGCUUCUAAAACUGGAAACCUUGAGUAAUGGAAGGGAAAGUGGAAUUCCUAGUGUAGCGGUGGAAUGCGCAGAUAUUAGGAGGAAUACCGGUGGCGAAGGCGACUUGCUGGAAUCUAACUGACGCUGAGGUACGAAAGCGUGGGGAGCAAACAGG
rnacentral:rRNA from 1 species